UACCUGGUUGAUCCUUCCAGUAGUCAUAUACAUGUCUCAAAGAUUAAGUCAUGCAUGUGUAAGUAUGAAAAAAUUCAAACUAUGAAACUGCGAAUGGCUCAUUAAAUCAGUUAUAGUUUGUUUGAUGGUAUCUACUACUUGGAUAAUCAUAGUAAUUCUAGAGAUAAUAUGUACAACAAAACCCGACUUCUGAAAGGGAUGCAUUUAUUAGAUAAUAGGUCAGCCAGACUCUGCCCAUUGCUGUGAUGAUUCAUGAUAACUCGAUAGAUCACACGACCAUUGUGCCGGCGAUACAUCAUUCAAAUUUUUGCUCUAUUAACUUUUGAUGGAAGGAUAGUGGCCUACCAUGGUGGUGAAGAGUGGCGGAGAAUUAGUGUUUGAUUCUGGAGAAGGAGCCUGCGAAAUGGCUACUAUAUCCCAAGGAAAGCAGCAGGCACGUAAACUACCUAAUCCUAACACGGAGAGGUAGUGAAAAUAAAUAACAGUACCGGGCUCAAUGAGUCUGGUAAUUAGAAUGAGUACAAUCCAAAUCCCUUAAUGAGGAUCCAUUGGAAGGAAAGUCUGGUGCCAGUAUCUUCGGUAAUUCCAUCUCCAAUAGCAUAUAUUUAAGUUGUUGCAGUCAAAAAGCUCGUAGUUGGACUUUGGGAUGGGCUGAUCGGUCCGCCUAUGGUGAGCACCGAUUGUCUCAUUCCUUCUAUCGGCGAUGCUCUCCUGGCCUUAACUAGCUGGGUCAUGCCUCCGGCGUUGUUACUUUGAAGAAAUUAGGGUGCAUAAAGAAAGCCUAUGAUGUGUAUACAUUAGCAUGGGAUAACAUUAUAUGAUUUUGGUCCUUCUACGUUGGCCUUUGGGAUUAUAGAAAUGAUUAACAGGGACAGUCGAGCGCAUUCGCAUUUCAUAGUCAGAGGUGAAAUUCUUGGAUCUAUGAAAUACGAACAACUGCAAAGAAUUUUUCAAGGAUGUUUUCAUUUAUCAAGAACAAAAAUUGGGUGCUCGAAGCCGAUCAGAUACCGUCCUAAUCUCAACCAUAAUUAAUGCAAACCAGGGAUUGGUGGAUGUUGCUUUUAGGUCUCCGUUGACACAAUAUGAGAAAUCAAAGUUUUUGGGUUCAGGGGGAGUAUGGUCGCAAGACUGAAACGUAAUGGAAUUGAUGGAAGAGCAACUCCUGGAGUAGAUCCUGUGGCUUAAUUUGACUCAACACAGGGAAACUUACCAGGUGCAGAUAAAGUAAGGAUUGACAGACUGAGAGCUCUUUCUUGCUUCUAUGGGUUGUGGUGCAUGGAUGUUCUUAGUUGGUGGAGUAAUUUGUCUGGUUAAUUCUGUUAACGAAUGAGACCUCAACCUGCUAACUAGCUAUGCAGAGGUAUCCCUUCAUGGCCAGCUUUUAAGAGGAACUACAGCAUUUUAGGACACGAAAGUUUGAGGCAAUAAAAGGACUGUGAUGCCCUUAGAUGUUUUUGACCGCAUGCGCGCUACACUGAUGUAUUCAACCAGUUUAUAGCCUUAGCCAAAAGGUCUUGGUAAUCUUUGAAAUUUAAUCGUGAUGGGGAUAGAUCAUUGCAAUUGUUGGUAUUCAAUGAGGAAUUCCUAGUAAGAGUGACUCAUCAUCUUGUGUUGACUACGUCCAUGCCCUAUGCACAUACCACCCGUCGCUCCUACCGAAUGACUGAUUUGGUGAAAUGUUUGGAUCGUGGAGACAAAGGUGGUUUGCUGCCCACAACGUCGCAAGAAGUCCAUUAAACCUUAUUAUUUAGAGGAAUAGAAGUCCUAAUAAGGUUUCUGUAGGUGAACCUAUGGAAGGAUCAUUG
rfam:Capsicum annuum cultivar Zunla-1 chromosome 2, whole genome shotgun sequence